CCUCUCUAGAAAGCCAGUUGGUAAAUAUUUCCUGAAACACCACAGUGAGAGCCCUGUGGGACUACAUCAGAGAGAAUACCAAGUGUUCGUUGGGGAUCAUCUUUGGAGACCGGCUACCAAAAUCCACCUUGUGCAAAAUCUGAUGAUAGAUCAAAAGAGCAGACAAUUUUUGGCAUGUAGCUGACUGCUUCCUGAAACUCCUUUGGCUGGAGCUCUUCCGUGUUCAGGCUUUGAAUCUUACUGAAUCUGGUAGGUGCUCCUCCUUCAUCUGUAAGAACACACUCCACUGCUUGUGAAUUGCCUGAGUUUUCAGUGGCAGCUUAGAUGUUGGCUGAGCU